ensembl:lncRNA
GGAAUAUUCCUUACUUUCACAUGUUUAGCAGGCAUGCACUUUCUGCAGAGAAACCCCAGUUGCAAGCAAUAAGAAAGAUUUGUUGCUCCCCGACACGAGAAACAAACACACGCCAUAAUUUUGCGCCUUCGCUCACUCCCCGUUUUGACACAUGCUUUGGAUUUUCCGUGUCAUAUUUUAAGAAGGCCACGGUGCAUGACUGACCUUCAUCUCUGUACAAUCUAAAGAGAUCAGUGUGCAUGUAAACAUCAAACAGCACCCCUGCGCUGCAGUGCAAUUAAGAAUAUUGUUGAAAACCUCUGCUAACAUUAAACACCGAAGCGGCUUUGAGGGGCCAGAAUGUACACGAAGUCUUUCUCGGUAUUUGUUUCAGCACGCACAGCUCUGCAGGCUGGAUGCUGGAUGCCUAUAUUAUGAUUAGCUUUCCCACCUUUGCUAGGAUCGCGUCAAACUCAGAAACUGAACAAAUUAUAGUGCCUCCACGGCAAUGCAAGUCGGUUAGACGUGUCUUUAAAAACGCGUAAAUUACUUUUUCUCCCCACGCUGGAGUUGUUUUUGCCUUCAUGAACGGUUAUUUGUCAUAAGAAGACCAGUUGGGGUUGUCUUAAUGGACUCUUUCUUCUGUUUUAUUUUAUUUAUUUUUUUGUUUGUUUUUAUAAAUGUAUUUAUCGCUGCAUCACCUCUUGUGCACCCACCUGCCCACCCUCCUCCGCUCCCAGGCCGCUGAUGCAACAAGGAUAAUGUUUACGGCGGGGAAACGUGCCCAACUUGUUUGCCUUGGGGUGCCUCUGGUAACUGAAAUAACACAAGGUCAGGAGCGAGGGAUCAAAGGUCUUCCCAAACUGCUUCAUCUUCUGCAUUUUUUAGGCCGGACGGGCAUGCACCUUCCUCCCGUUUCUGUGACAUAAUACACGUCUAAGGUGAGGCAAUCUGAAACCGGGUGACGUUUUAAAACAAUAAUAAUAAUAAUAAUGCUAGCGAAAUACAUGCUUUAUCUGAUUAAUGGCACCGCAACUAUUAACAUUUAAACGGUAGUAGACAGUGCAUUUUUACGCAGUUGUUCAAAAAUUCCCAUAAAUU